rnacentral:rRNA from 1 species
CCUACGGGAGGCAGCAGUGAGGAAUAUUGGUCAAUGGACGAGAGUCUGAACCAGCCAAGUAGCGUGAAGGAUGACUGCCCUAUGGGUUGUAAACUUCUUUUAUAAAAGAAUAAAACGAGGCACGUGUGCCUUUUUGCAUGUACUUUAUGAAUAAGGAUCGGCUAACUCCGUGCCAGCAGCCGCGGUAAUACGGAGGAUCCGAGCGUUAUCCGGAUUUAUUGGGUUUAAAGGGAGCGUAGAUGGGUUGUUAAGUCAGUGGUGAAAGUUUGCGGCUCAACCGUAAAAUUGCAAUUGAUACUGGCAGUCGUGAGUACAGUUGAGGUAGGCGGAAUUCGUGGUGUAGCGGUGAAAUGCUUAGAUAUCACGAAGAACCCCGAUUGCGAAGGCAGCUUACUAAACUGUGACUGACAUUGAUGCUCGAAAGUGUGGGUAUCAAACAGGAUUAGAUACCCCAGUAGUU